UGAACUGAAAACUAUUUUGUUUCGCAUGAUGGAUUUUUCUUUUCAGAGAUUACCAGUUGAUUGUCACUAUGUUUUUGAAAAGGAGAUUCACACAUGCAACAAGGUACUGUUAAAUGGUUUAACGCUGAUAAAGGUUUCGGCUUCAUCACUGGUGAAGACGGCAACGACGUAUUCGUUCACUUCUCCGCCAUCCAAGGCGACGGCUUCAAGACCCUCGAUGAAGGCCAAGCUGUUUCCUACGACGUUGAACAAAGCGACCGCGGCCCUCAGGCUGCUAAUGUAACGAAGCUUUAAUUCGUUGCUAGUCGCGAAAAGCCCCGCUUCGGCGGGGCUUUUUGU
rnacentral:other from 1 species